CAAAGGUUAACAUGAGUCACUGAGAAAAUAUGCUCUGUACAGCAUGGAAACACCAUAACAGGAGAUGGCUAUGAAGACCCAUUGUUGAACAGAUCCCAAAUGUUGGAUGUCUAUCUAUUGACAGUACCAGCACACAUGACCACUGUGACUUCUGACAAAGCUGUCUCAAUGGACCUGAAUUUACUGUUUCCUUGAAGCCAAACAAGGCCCACCCAACAAGCUUGGCCAGGGAGUGAUCAACUAAGAGGAAGCCAGACAAGAGAGAUGGCCAGACUUGCCUGAAAUAAGAACCUGGGCUUUGAUGGCUGAACAACCCCAGUUUGGCAAGACUCAAUCUACAGCUUGGAGGGCAAGCCAGCCCAACUGACCUCUCCACCACCACCUGUUGUCUGUGAGUCCAGACAACAGGACUCACAAAUUUCUUGAUUAUGCUAUUGAAAUAAUAAAAAAGAGACAUCCAUAUGUACACAGAGACUUUGAUCAAUAUAUUUACCAAUGAAAAAACUGUAAUUAUCUGUUGUGUCAUGUGAUGGCAUAUAGAGACCAGUGAAAUGUGUGAAGUGGAGGAGAUGAAAGAGACCUUUUAAUUUUGGAAAUGAAGAGAGAUAGCUCUGAUGGAGAAAGCAAAAAGAGAUGGUCGUUAACAUCUUGAGAUUUCGAUGAUGCCCAAUGCGUCCAUUUCCUGGUCCCUGAGCAGAUGUGGGACUACAACAGGCACACGUGAUGCAGGACUCGGCAGCCAUCUCCAUGUUUCUGAAGCCUGUGGCACACCAAUGGAAGUGAAGACUAUGCAGCACAGGCACAGACAAGAUCUGACCAUGAAGUCUGUAUCAGACCAGUGGAAGGGACUUUUUUGUAGACUCAAGAAUCAACAAUCUGUCGUGGUCAUUUAA
rnacentral:lncRNA from 1 species